rnacentral:misc_RNA from 1 species
GAUGAAGAACGCAGCGAAAUGCGAUAAGUAGUGUGAAUUGCAGAAUUCAGUGAAUCAUCGAAUCUUUGAACGCACAUUGCGCCCCUUGGUAUCCCGAGGGGCAUGCCUGUUCGAGCGUCAUUUCACCACUCAAGCCUGGCUUGGUGUUGGGCGACGUCCCCUUUGGCGACGCGCCUCGAAACGCUCGGCGGCGUGGCACCGGCUUUAAGCGUAGCAGAAUCUUUCGCUUUGGAAGUCGGGGCCCCGUCUGCCGGAAGACCUACUCGCAAGGUUGACCUCGGAUCAGGCAGGGAUACCCGCUGAACUUAAGCAUAUCAAUAAGCGGAGGA